rnacentral:rRNA from 1 species
UGAGGAAUCUUGCGCAAUGGGGGAAACCCUGACGCAGCAACGCCGCGUGAGUGAGGAAGGUCUUCGGAUCGUAAAGCUCUGUCAGUUGGAAAGAAAUGUCUGAGAGUCAAUCCCUUUCAGGCUUGACGGUACCAACAGAGGAAGCACCGGCUAACUCCGUGCCAGCAGCCGCGGUAAUACGGGGGGUGCAAGCGUUGUUCGGAAUUAUUGGGCGUAAAGAGCGUGUAGGCGGCCGGAUAUGUCAGAUGUGAAAGCCCUGGGCUCAACCCAGGAAGUGUAUUUGAAACUGUCCGGCUCGAGUAGGGGAGAGGGAAGUGGAAUUCCUGGUGUAGAGGUGAAAUUCGUAGAUAUCAGGAGGAACACCGGUGGCGAAGGCGACUUCCUGGCCCUAUACUGACGCUGAGACGCGAGAGCGUGGGUAGCAAACAG